AUUACAUAUGCAUAUAGUGUUAAUUCAAUAAAUGUAUAGAUAUCGACUCACAAAGUUAUCAGGUUAAAUUAGCUUUAUCAACCAAUAACGAUGUUGUUGUAUGACUAAUGUCGUACCAUGUUGUCGCACUGUUAUCCGGCAGAAAUUAUGUUGCUGAGUAUUGUAGUAAAAGUUCAGAUAUGAUGUUAGGAUUUUUUUUGAGUCAUGCAACGACAUAACAGCGGACUACU
rnacentral:misc_RNA from 1 species